GGCGAACGCUGGCGGCGUGCCUAACACAUGCAAGUCGAACGGAGAGACAUGGAAGCUUGCUUCUAUGAAUCUUAGUGGCGAACGGGUGAGUAACGCGUAAUCAACCUGCCCUUCAGAGGGGGAUAACAACGGGAAACCGUUGCUAAUACCGCGUACGAUAUGCUUUCGGCAUCGAGAGUGUAUGAAAGGUGGCCUCUAUAUAUAAGCUAUCGCUGAAGGAGGGGAUUGCGUCUGAUUAGCUAGUUGGAGGGGUAACGGCCCACCAAGGCGAUGAUCAGUAGCCGGUCUGAGAGGAUGAACGGCCACAUUGGGACUGAGACACGGCCCAG
rnacentral:rRNA from 1 species